rnacentral:misc_RNA from 1 species
AUAAUAGCGGGUCCUCUCGAAUCAUAGGAUGUCUGAACCCUUGAAUAUACAUAACUUUGUUGCUUUGGCGGGCCGCCUUCGGGCGUUGGCCUCGGCUGACUGUGCCCGCCAGGGGACCACAACUCUUUUGUUUAGUGAUGUCUGAGUACUAUAAAAUAUUUA